rnacentral:rRNA from 1 species
CAGUAGCCGCGGUAAUACGUAGGUGGCAAGCGUUGUCCGGAAUUAUUGGGCGUAAGGGGCUCGCAGGCGGUUUCUUAAGUCUGAUGUGAAAGCCCCCGGCUCAACCGGGGAGGGUCAUUGGAAACUGGGAAACUUGAGUGCAGAAGAGGAGAGUGGAAUUCCACGUGUAGCGGUGAAAUGCGUAGAGAUGUGGAGGAACACCAGUGGCGAAGGCGACUCUCUGGUCUGUAACUGACGCUGAGGCACGACAGCGUGGGGAGCAAACAGGAUUAGAUACCCGCGUAGUCCCUGUCUCUUAUAC